rnacentral:lncRNA from 1 species
UCCUCUUGUAGAGAUCGUCUACGAGUUUAACGGGUUGGUGAACCUAAAAUCACCCGUCACGCCUACGAAAAGGAGCCUAGGAAUCGCAUCUAGUUUUCUUAGUUUAUUUUCUUUUCUUUUGAUUUUACUCGAGGACGAGCAAAAUUUAGGUAUGGGGAAGUUUGAUAAGUGCAUAUUUUUUAUAUUUUAAAUCCCUAAUUAUUGCUUGUUCUCACUUAUUUAUUUGUUUAUUUGUCUUUUUUCAGGAAUAUUG